rnacentral:lncRNA from 1 species
AAAAUAUAUGUACACAGCUACACAGUAUAUAGGGCUAUGGCGACGGUUUCACCCGUUGCCAUAGAGAUAUACGACAGCUGAACCGUCACAAUAGCCCAAAAAACCGUCGUCAUAAUAAUAGACAGCUGUAUAUACAUAUAGCUCAUAUAUAUAUUCAUAUAUAUAUUCAUGAAUGCAUGCUUAGAAAUAAUUGUACAAGAUAUGACAGCAUUAUUUUCUUCUCUAAAUGUUGAAAGACAUGAGAAGCAUAUUUGACCUUGGCG